AUUGAACGCUGGCGGCAUGCUUUACACAUGCAAGUCGAACGGUAACAGGCCGCAAGGUGCUGACGAGUGGCGAACGGGUGAGUAAUGCAUCGGAACGUGCCCAGUCGUGGGGGAUAACGCAGCGAAAGCUGCGCUAAUACCGCAUACGCUCUAUGGACGAAAGCGGGGGACCGUAAGGCCUCGUGCGAUUGGAGCGGCCGAUGUCGGAUUAGGGAGUUGGUGGGGUAAAGGCUCACCAAGCCAACGAUCUGUAGCUGGUCUGAGAGGACGACCAGCCACACUGGGACUGAGACACGGCCGAGACUCCUACGGGAGGCAGCAGUGGGGAAUUUUGGACAAUGGGCGCAAGCCUGAUCCGGCAAUGCCGCGUGCAGGAAGAAGGCCUUCGGGUUGUAAACUGCUUUUGUACGGAACGAAACGGCUCUGGUUAAUACCUGGGGCUAAUGACGGUACCGUAAGAAUAAGCACCGGCUAACUACGUGCCAGCCGCCGCAGUAAUAC
rnacentral:rRNA from 1 species